AAUGUCGCGGCCUUCCUAGUUUCUAUUUGCUAUUCAAGGUUGGUUUCGCCGAGGUGUAAACAGGAAUUACUGACAAGUUCAUACAGUGCGACAUGGAAUGCGCAUUUAAAGGGGCGGACUAUUUCUCUGUAAAACAAGCGUACGAAGGCGAGGCCAUGUCUUAGUUUUUUCGUGCAAAAUUAUUAUGUAAAAAAGUGAUAAUCAAAUCCCCUCACACAUCCGAUAAGUAAGUGAAGAGCAAUUAGAGAAGAUGUGAAUGUGAAGAUUGAAUUCAGUCAAGUCACAGAUGAUGGUGAACAGCGGCAAAUGGCAAUGAUUAAACUGGACAUAUCGUAACAUGGACUCCUCUAACUCUGGAGAGGAAAUAUCUACAAGUUUAUUAGUGUUCUGAAAGAAGCAAGAAAUUAAGAGAUCAGAAGAGAAGAUGCUGUAGUCAGGCAAGCAAAAACUGUAACUGAGAAAUUACUAAAAAGUCUUUUAAUGAGAGCCAACAAUCAAAGUCAAAAGGAUUAGCAAAAAAGUCUUAAACUGGGAGAUUAAAACAAAAUAGAUUAUUUCUAAAAGCACAAAGAGGUUUACAAUUAUCUGCAAUCUUGCAUAAGGAAAGGUCACCAGGGACAAGCUUAUAUACUGUUGUU